rnacentral:misc_RNA from 1 species
AUUCCGAUCGACGUCAAGGUUGAACUUGUCAAUUUAUAAAUUAUAACCACUGUACCGAGAGCCAGUCGAAAUUGUGAACAUCUCCAAGGAGGGCACUUUAUCCUCGAUAAGUAUCGUUACGUGGAGUUCUAAAUAUAUAAAGAUUGCGAAAUGACGCUGUAUUCAUGCUGAGGAAAAAAUGAUCAAUAUCUUCGAAGACAUGGGUUGGAAAGGGAUUUCUCUGAUUUUGUGCACCUUUGGCUUCUUCAAAGAGUUCAGACCUUCGGAGCCAUUUAUUACGGAUUACCUCACUGGAUCAUGGAAGAAUUUUACACGCUCUGAAGUGAAUCAGGAGAUUUUUCCAGUUAGCACGUAUGCUUACUUUGCGAUGCUGAUUCUUGUAUUUUUGAUUACGGAUUUUUUAAGAUAUAAGCCAGUGAUAGUGCUAUGUGGGCUUUCUGGAACUGCGACAUACUGUUUGAUAAUUUUAAGCAAGACUGUACUAGAGAUGCAAAUAGUGGAAGUUCUUUACGGUUUCUUCUUAUCCUCCGAGGUGGCAUAUUAUACAUACGUGUAUGCAAAAGUUGAUAAAAAACAUUAUCAAGAAGUUACUGGUCACACAAGGGCAGCAUUCCUCCUUGGUCGUUGUGCAGCUGGCCUUGUGGCCCAAUUAACGACAUCUUUUAAUCUAUUAGAUUAUCAUCACUUAAAUUUUAUCACCUUAUCAGCUUUGAUAUUUGCAUCGUUUUGGGCCUUUUUUUUACCUAGUGUUAAAGAGUCGAUAUAUUUUCAUAGGCCAGUCGGUAAUCGCAACGAUAGUACAACAUUUUCAAUAAACGACAGCUGCGAAUCUUCGGUUACACAGUCGCCUAUAUCGGAGUCAAGCCUCUACUUGCAAAAUAACACUAAUAAUCAAAAGAGAUCUUCCUUUACUUUGAAAUUGAGAAGAGCAUAUUUUUUGUUAUGGAAGGACUUUUUAAAGGCCUACUCAAAUGUUCACGUUGUGAAGUGGUCACUCUGGUGGGCGUUUGCUACUUGUGGAUAUUUGCAAGUAAUUAACUAUAUUCAGUUACUAUGGCAGGAGAUUGUUCAGAAGGAUCAGAAUAUUUUUAACGGAGGUGUGGAAGCUGCAUAUACAAUAAUAGGUGCAAUUACGGUAUUUGGAGUUGGAAAGUUACGUUUGAAUUGGGAUCUCGUAGGUGAAGCCACCCUGUCAAUAUUUUCAUUCAUAGAAGGAAUCUUGCUGUUAUUAGCUGCUCGUACUGGCAACAUUUGGCUUUCUUAUGCAGUUUACGUAACAUUUGGAGUGAUUUAUCAUACUAUCGUAACCGUUGCAAGUUUCGAAGUCGCCAAGAGAUUAUCCGAAGACAGUUAUAGUUUAAUAUUUGGCCUAAAUACGCUGUUGGCUUUGCUGCUACAAACGAUUUUAACGAGUGCUGUAGUCAGUGAAUAUACUUUCGGCCCAUCAAUUAGAUCACAGUUCAUCGUGUAUAGCACCUACUUUCUGGCGCUAGGGAUCAUUUUCAACAUCAUGGCUGUUUACACGAUCUUGAGAUACUGCAGGUCUGGCAAGGACAUUAAAUUCUGGCUUAACGAAACCGAAGUGCUUUCACCAACGCAGUACGAAAGCGGCACAAGGGCGUCGUAAGGCGAAAAUCCUCGUCAGUGUGUCGAGAAUUUCGACCGGUCGCGAACAACUACGUAUUCUAACGGCAUUGGUUUUUUUUUGUCCUUCGAAACCGCUUGGUACAGAAGGAUUCGAGGAAGGGUCUUCACUGGCAAAUUGUUGAAAGGAAGGUGGCGCGAAUUCCGAGUUUGAAAAUUAAUGGCGCUAGAAAAGGAAAAGGAAUAUGAAUGAGGGACGGCUAACGUCACAGUCAUUCCGACCGUAUUCCGAAUGUAUAACGUUAGAGCAAAGAGAUUCGAAGUGGUAUUCAUACCGAUACACGUGAAACAGCACUCCACGACCAGUCUCCGUAAUCAGGGAUUUUCCAGGCCGGCCUUGUAUGCUCACGGAAAUAUCUCGGUUACGCACAACCUAUGGAUCUUUAGUCGCCAUUCUUCUUCGGCGUUUAUUCGGCUCGUAAAAAGAAUACGAGUCGUGUUCACGCACACGCGAUACGCAUGAUAAACUGGCAUGCCUAAGCCGGGAGGAGAGACGCAACUUUCCGUUUAGUCACGUAAAUCUAAGAUCGCCCGAUAAAGCGAUUUAAGGCGUUUUCAAGGUGAUUCUUUCCGGUCGACUCGAUACCUCGAUUAAUUCCCGCUCACGAUCUCGAAGACAAUCAAUUCGAAGAGGCGGGAGACAUUUCCAGAUUUUGAAUCGCAACGGCGCGUAUCGUGGAUGCAAGAGGCCGUCAGCCAGUUCACGGCCACCGAUAAGUGCGACCGAUUAUUUCCCCGACAGUGAACUUCGCCUGUUCUCGAAAAAGUUAUUUACCAUUAUGCCCGGAGUACGAAUAUCGGUAUGCAAAAAUCUAGGAGCACGCGGUGCCCAUCGAAAUGAAUCAAAACUACCGUUUUCUUUUCAGGCGCUGCGCAUUCGGCGCAUCCGUUUCCUGGGGCCAACGGAAGCGGAAAGAACGCGGGAGUGCAGGUCGAGUCCGGGAAAUCCCGAAGGCGGCAUCGAACCACUCUCGGCUCCGGAGGGAACGCGCUCGUGCCAUCUCGAGACCGGGUACC